rnacentral:rRNA from 1 species
CCACAGAGGGAUAGCCCAGAGAAAUUUGGAUUAAUACCUCAUAGCAUCAUGACCCGGCAUCGGGAUAUGAUUAAAGUCACAACGGUGGAAGAUGAGCAUGCGUCCCAUUAGCUAGUUGGUAAGGUAACGGCUUACCAAGGCUACGAUGGGUAGGGGUCCUGAGAGGGAGAUCCCCCACACUGGUACUGAGACACGGACCAGACUCCUACGGGAGGCAGCAGUGAGGAAUAUUGGUCAAUGGGCGCAAGCCUGAACCAGCCAUGCCGCGUGCAGGAUGACGGUCCUAUGGAUUGUAAACUGCUUUUGUACGGGAAGAAACCCUCCUACGUGUAGGAGCUUGACGGUACCGUAAGAAUAAGGAUCGGCUAACUCCGUGCCAGCAGCCGCGGUAAUACGGAGGAUCCAAGCGUUAUCCGGAAUCAUUGGGUUUAAAGGGUCUGUAGGCGGUCUUGUAAGUCAGUGGUGAAAGCCCAUCGCUCAACGGUGGAACGGCCAUUGAUACUGCUGGACUUGAAUUAUUGGGAAGCAACUAGAAUAUGUAGUGUAGCGGUGAAAUGCUUAGAGAUUACAUGGAAUACCAAUUGCGAAGGCAGGUUGCUACCAAUGGAUUGACGCUGAUGGACGAAAGCGUGGGUAGCGAACAGGAUUAGAUACCCUGGUAGUCCACGCCGUAAACGAUGGAUACUAGCUGUUGGGCGCAAGUUCAGUGGCUAAGCGAAAGUGAUAAGUAUCCCACCUGGGGAGUACGAACGCAAGUUUGAAACUCAAAGGAAUUGACGGGGGCCCGCACAAGCGGUGGAGCAUGUGGUUUAAUUCGAUGAUACGCGAGGAACCUUACCAAGGCUUAAAU